UCAAAUACCAGUAGGGUCAACCAUGGAAGACAGGUUUCAGUGGCACUUCCAAACUAACACAGAGUAGGAGGAACACCCACUUCUGGGACAAUUGGCCAUGAAAACCCUACAAAUAGCAGCGGAGCAUUGUCUGAGGUAGCACCGGAAGAUUGGUUAUGAAUUAUUUGCAUUGACAACUGUCAACCCCAGUUUUGCCUGAUGGAGUGAAAACACCUGCAUCCCAGCAGCCUUCAGGAAUUCUGGCAUCAAUGUCUAAAGGUACAGCUACAUUUUCUUGUAGAGUGAUCAUCCCUGCUUCUGGCAACCACAGUUGCAGCCCUGACCCAGGGACAACAGCAUAAGGUUCUGGAGGCACAGCAGUGGAUAAGGGAGAUAUUCUGAAGGGGAGACAUAUUCUGAGCAAGUAGGUGGUCCAACUACGUCCUCUUCCUCACAUUCCCACAGAGGGGAGGAGCCUCUCUACCCUGGAUGAAGCGCUUUGGAGCACACCUGCCCUCUCUGUCCUCUAGUUGACACAAUUUGUGAAACAGGAAAAAGGCACUGAGGAUGCUCCUCCUCUGUUCUCCUGUUUGGUCAGAUACAUUUCUAACCUUCAGGUUACAGCCUGUGGGAGCAUGUUCUGGACCCUUUGGGCGGGGAUGGGGGUGCUAAUUGUGAUCGUAAUUUGGAGAGAAAUUUUGUUAAAGAUAUAAACGAUGUUUUCCAAUGAACCUCGCUAAUAAAACGUAUUUUUA